rnacentral:snoRNA from 1 species
CACCUCUCAGGAUUGCAGCUGGAGAGUUUCCAGUACUCUCCCAGUUUCGACUACGGGAGGGAGAGUCAAGCAGAGCCCUAUCCAUUCCAUUCCUAGCUUGGGCAGUGGCUAGCGAGUGGAAGGCAACCUUCUACAAGC